rnacentral:sRNA from 1 species
UUUUUUGUUUUAAAUAGUUUCCGAAAUCUAAUUCAAAUUUUGGAGAAAUCUACGUGAUAUAUGGGAUUGAAAUAUAUUUGGAAUAUUUUUUGUUUGUUAAUCAAUUUAUUGCCAAAAGAAAAUCAAUAAUUAAAAGCCAGUGGCAGCCAUUGUAAAUAAGUUCCAACUCGAGGAUUUAUUUCACAAAAUAGCUGCAAAAAUGUAUAUAUAGAUUACUAAACUAUUAUCUUUCCUCCGUUCAAACGUGCAACUUUUUUUAGUCUAUCGUAUCAUUAAAUUCGUAUACCUGAUAAUU